AGAGACAGCAGCAGCCGCGGGAAUACCGAGGGUGCGAGCGUUAAUCGGAUUUACUGGGCGUAAAGCGUGCGUAGGCGGCUUCUUAAGUCGGAUGUGAAAUCCCUGAGCUUAACUUAGGAAUUGCAUUCGAUACUGGGAAGCUAGAGUAUGGGAGAGGAUGGUAGAAUUCCAGGUGUAGCGGUGAAAUGCGUAGAGAUCUGGAGGAAUACCGAUGGCGAAGGCAGCCAUCUGGCCUAAUACUGACGCUGAGGUACGAAAGCAUGGGGAGCAAACAGGAUUAGAUACCCGCGUAGUCCCUGUCUCUUAUAC
rnacentral:rRNA from 1 species